GUAGUCGUGGCCGAGUGGUUAAGGCGAUGGAUGGACUAGAAAUCCACCGGGGUCUCCCCGCGCAGGUUCGAAUCCUGCCGACUACG